rnacentral:rRNA from 1 species
CCACCUACCUCUCCCACACUCUAGAAAAGUAGUUUCAAAUGCAGUUCUGUAGUUAAGCUACAGGAUUUCACAUCUGACUUACUUUCCCGCCUACGCACUCUUUACGCCCAGUGAUUCCGAGUAACGCUUGCACCCUCCGUAUUACCGCGGCUGCUGGCACGGAGUUAGCCGGUGCUUAUUCGUUGGAUACCGUCAUAAUCUUCUCUAACAAAAGGAGUUUACAAUCCUAAAACCUUCAUCCUCCACGCGGCGUUGCUGCUUCAGGCUUUCGCCCAUUGAGCAAUAUUCCCUACUGCUGCCUCCCGUAGGAGUCUGGACCGUGUCUCAGUUCCAGUGUGUCCGAUCACCCUCUCCGGCCGGAUACCCGUCAUAUCCUUGGUGAGCCUUUACAA